rnacentral:tRNA from 1 species
GCCUGGGUGGUGGAAUUGGUAGACACAGCAGACUUAAGAUCUGCCGAACUUUGGUUCGUGCCGGUUCAAGUCCGGCUCCGGGUA